rnacentral:rRNA from 1 species
UUAGANUACUNNUUCAUNUAGAGGANGGGNGGNGAAUCNUGAUAACUACGNCNAAUCGACAGGCCUUGNGCCGGNGAUGGCUCAUUCAAAUUUCUUCCCUAUCAACUUUCGAUGUUUGGGUAUUGGCCAAACAUGGUGGCAACGGGUAACGGAGGGUUAGGGCUCGACCCCGGAGAAGGAGCCUGAGAAACGGCUACUACAUCCAAGGAAGGCAGCAGGCGCGCAAAUUACCCAAUCCCGACACGGGGAGGUAGUGACAAUAAAUACUGAUACAGGGCUCUUUUGGGUCUUGUAAUCGGAAUGAGUACAAUUUAAAUCCCUUAACGAGGAACAAUUGGAGGGCAAGUCUGGUGCCAGCAGCCGCGGUAAUUCCAGCUCCAAUAGCGUAUAUUAAAGUUGUUGUGGUUAAAAAGCUCGUAGUUGAACCUUGGGCCUGGCUGGCCGGUCCGCCUCACCGCGUGCACUGGUCCGGCCGGGCCUUUCCCUCUGCGGAACCCCAUGCCCUUCACUGGGUGUGGCGGGGAAACAGGACUUUUACUUUGAAAAAAUUAGAGUGCUCAAGGCAGGCCUAUGCUCGAAUACAUUAGCAUGGAAUAAUAGAAUAGGACGUGUGGUUCUAUUUUGUUGGUUUCUAGGACCGCCGUAAUGAUUAAUAGGGACAGUCGGGGGCAUCAGUAUUCAAUUGUCAGAGGUGAAAUUCUUGGAUUUAUUGAAGACUAACUACUGCGAAAGCAUUUGCCAANGAUGUUUUCAUUAAUCANGAACC